AUUAGUGAGUUCUAGUUUUACUUUACAAAAACAAUUACAACAAUUUCUUAAUUUGAAUUUAAAACAAGUGGUAAUUAGCAACAUACAAUAAUAAUUAUACAAUCCCAAAAGAAUAGUCUACCAAUGUGUGUGUCAAAACCUGAUGUCACAAGUAUAUGGGCAUCUAGUAGAAUAUACAAAAAAAUAAAUCUAUCAUACUGUUUGAAAUAGAAUAGACAGCCAAAAGCAAAGAGAGACUCCAUCAUGCUGCUGAACGGUAUAGGAAGAGAGCAUCUCACCGUGAAAUCUCGGACUACGAUCAAGAAUGUGCACUAGACUGGUAGCCAGAUGUACCUGCCUCAGAUCAUGUACAAUUAAGUACAGAAGCGUAGUAUGAGUACAUAAACAAUAUGUACCCAGUAAGUAUCCCGACUAAUCUCGAAGAAGUAGAGACGAGAGGUCAACUUGACACUUACUAGGGUCAAAUAAUAUAAGAAAGUGUUAUGCUAAGCAUGGAUGUCACAAAUAAUUAAUAAUUUAUAACAAAAAGUGAUAGGUCAUUUCCUAGAUAAUAUCGCAAUUAGCCAUUUACAUUCCAGGGCAUUUAACAAAGUUCAAUUCAUAGAAAAAUACCGAGCAAGAAGCAUGCACAAAUAGUGUCGAAGUCGUACGGCCCGAUCCAACAUAAAAAUAAAGUGUGCACUGUCGGAGGGUCGAACGACACGAACCAUAGUUGUAUCUAUUACCCCGCUCGCAAAUCAUACAUGCGACACAGUCAAAUAUAAUUAAACACAACAAACAGUCAGACAGGAAUAUAUCAGGGAAGCAAUUACUCAAAGAAAUGUCAACUUCUCUUUAAAAGGUCAAGAAAAUGAUGUUCCUCUUUAUAAUUUCAUUUACCACAUUCAUCGUGAUUUAAGCAAUUCAAAUUGACCAUAAAGUUACAAGAAUAUCACAUAAAGCAUGCUUUUGGAUCCUAAACUACCCGGACUUGAGAAUAAUAGUGGUUGUGCACAGACUCUCGUCACCUAAUGCGUACGUAGCCCCUGCAUUUAGUGGAAAAUUAUUAAAUUAUUUCACCUAUGGGGACAAUUCCCUCUUACAAGGUUAGAAAGGAUACUCACUUCGCUCCAAAGCGUACUUCCAAUAUCAAGAACGUGCUCAAACCCUCAAUUUGGAGCUGAACGGUCCAAAACUAAUUAAACGAGGUAGGAACUAGUUAAUACAAGCUUACAAGUUCGCAUUCUACCUAUUAAAGUAAUUUACCAACCCUAAACACAAGUUUUUUAAAAUCCAUCCCCGGACCCACAUGCCCGAAUUCCAAAAUUUUUUGAAGAAAGUUGUUCUCUAUAACCUAAGGAUCAAGAAUAUAUAAUUUCUAGUUUAUUCCAUAACAAAUUUCGUAGUUAAAUCUUAUUUUUAUCAAAACCCUAAUUAUACUCUAAUCCCAUAAUUUUUCACUAAUCUUUGUGUUAAUCUACCCAAAACCCAAGUAUUAAACUCAGAAUAAGUAGGAAUAACUUACCUUAAGAUGCUAGGUGAAAAUCUUCUCUCAAGAGCCCCAAAAUCGCCCAACUUAUGAGUGGAAAAUGAGCCAAAUAUGGCUAACACCAGCAAUAAAUGAAGGUCACUGCUUCAGUGAUUUCCGCAUCUGCGGUCCUGGGCCGCACCUGCGCCCACCGCAUAUGAGGAACAGUGUCCACUUCUGUAGGGAGAAAACCGCUUCUGCGGCUCCGCUUCUACAGGUCUCGCACUUGUAGCUGACCAACUGCAUGUGCAGUUAUGGCAGAAGACUGGAGCUUCAGUCUCUAAGGCCCUCGGCAAAGAGUUUCCCGCAAGUGCACCACGGUUAAUUCAGGUUUUACCCAGUCCGAUGACCCUCAGAAAUUGUUUGUACCCAGUAGGUUUCGAACUCGAGACCUUGAAAGGGAGCAAACCCCAAAGCUUCAGCUCCUUUUUAAAUUUUCCAACUUCACUCGAGCCUCGUCCGAAAUCAUCAUACCAACCUGUUGGAAUCUUCAAAUCUAGAUUCUGAGAUCGUUUACUCAAACCGUUGACCAAAGUCAAACUUGACCUUUUAAGCCAACCUUGAGGAACCAAGUGUUCCGAUUUCAACCCAAACUCUUCCAAAUCCCAAAUCAACCAUUCCCACAAGUCAUAAAUCAGUAAAAGCAAGUACGAAAAGUCUUAUCUAGGGGAACGGGGUUCUAAAAAGUAAAACGACCAAUCGGGUCGUUACAUCUAUAUUUGUUUCUUUAGAUAAACUAUGAAUAAUGUUCGAGGAAUUCACAUUAGGCUAAAAACAAUCAGUUUUCAGUUUCAUGUAAUAUACCGUAUGUCAUUAAGACAAGUCAAUUCGUUGUUCUGCUUUGGAUUUCACUAAUUCUGAUUGACAUAAUCAAACAGCUACAAGAAAAUAAAUAAAAACGGGAAUCAAUCAAAUAAAAUGUGGAAGCUUUUUUGUUUUGUUUGUGUAGGCAGCCUUUUUUUUGUCUUUCGUUUCUUUCUAGUGAACAUGACUAAUUAGUAAUCCUUUUGUGACUAUUAUAAUAAAUUAGUAAGUGUUAAGAGACAAAAUAAUUAAAUAUUUUAAAUACGCUAUUAGCCCAUGUGUUCAUAUCCAAACCUUGGAUUAAUAUGCUUAAAUAAAAAAAGGGUCAUGUGCGCAUUCCUGCAUCUCAAUGCCCUUAAAUGUAAAAUAAUUAAGUUUUAACCAUGUGUACAUUCAGUUCCUUGGUUUAACAUCUAACUUCAAAAAAAAAAAAAAUACCUUGUGUGCCUACCGCAUCUAGGUCAAAACAAUUAAUAAAAAAUAUAAUAAAUUAAGUGAAGUGGUAAUAGACAAGCCAUAAUCAAUAAAAUACAAGAAUAGUCAAGAAUUGACUUAAGCCGAACAUUAGUCAAUAAAAGCGACCGUGCUAGAACCACGAGACUUGAGGGGUGCCUUAUACCUUCCUCUCGGUCAACAGAAUUCCUUACUCAGUCUUAUGUUUUCAUAGACCAUGAAUUAGUAGUCAAAUCUUCCUUUUGAUAAGGGAUUCAAUAAAAGGUGACUUGGAACACCAAAACUCAAUUCCAAGUGACAACUCUAAAUAAUAAAUAAUUUCUUUUCAAAACGUCACUUUAAUUGGAAAAACUCUUCUAACUCAACCUCGUAAUAGGGUUGUGGGAAAAAAGAGGUGUGACAGUGUGGUGUUCUAUACCUGUCUUACCCGAGCGGACAACUCGAGCCGAAGAGACAAUGUAUCGGGAACCAAAAGGUCAUCCGACUUUGUAACUGAUCUGAUCAUCGUUCUAAAAUUAGGGGUAUGACACUCUAACAUAAAAGAAGUCACACCAGCGUGCGCAUCCCAGAAGAUUUAGAAGACUCAUAAAAAAGAAGGGAGUCGUAACAAUUUUAUAUAUAGUUCACGCAAUAUCAAAGUAGUAAAGAGCGGCAUUUAGCACAUUAGGCUCAAACAUGUAAUAUCAGACAAUAACAAGAAGCCAAGUAUAACAAUUAUUCUAAGCUCGAAUUCUGAAUCCUGAAUCAGAAGUUCUAUAUUCGAAUCCCCACUAGAGUCGCCAGAGCUGUCACACCAUCUUUUUCCCGAGGGAUAGGGAGUUUUUCCAAUAAAAGUGACAUUAUUCGAAAUGGAAUUAUUUAUGUAAUUAGAGUCGCCACUUGGAAUAAUUAUUAUGGUGUCCCAAGUCAGUGGUUUAUUUUAAAAUCUCAAAUAGAGAAAAUUGACUCUAUUUAUUAUCCGCAAAUACAAAAGACCGAGUAAGAAAUUCUGUUAACCCUAAAAAAGUGUGAGGCACUCUCGAGUUUUGUGAUUUUAGUACGGUCACUUAACCAUUAAUAUUUGACUUAAUUAUCCAAAUUAUUACAUGUUUAAAACCUAUUGCGCAUUUUAUCUUUCGUCACUUUUAAUUAAAUAUUUAACCGCUCUUUAGUAGUUAUGGAGCUAUGUUAAACAAGUUACGAUGUCGUACACUUGUAGUUCUGGUACAUAUUGCAAGUCGUGCAACGUGAAAUGUACUCGCGCUUUACAAUAUAUCUAUCAUUAUUAUUUUAAGUUGCGGUCAAGUCGCGUGAACGCGCACUUGAGUUGGGAUUUACAUAUCAUGACUAUGCCAUAGGAACUGUACCCACAGUCACAAUGAUUUAUUAUUGAUUGCGCCUAAAGCAAACUACGCGUGUUUACAAAUUGUUCAUUUCCUAUGUUUGAGAUUUUUGAAGGUCACACAUUAUGGCAAAGGAAUUGUUGGAGUCAAGAUUUGAGUCAUUCAUAUGACUAAGGAACUUGGUGCAGUUAAUUCAAGUCAAGAGUUUAUGGUGACCAAUUCGAUGAGUCACUAUUAGGAAUUUUGUUGAAUCUACACAUUGGGAUUAUCAUGAGAUGAAAUAGUCAUAAGCAAUUAAAUAUUCCAAUUAUGGAUUUCAACAAGUUAAAAUCGAAGAGAUUAGCUUCUUUCUACUAUUACUCCACGUCUAAAGUGAGCGACAUGCCCAUUAUAGCCUUGAAGUCGCUAGGCAGUUUACUGUAGAGCACAGUUAACUUUAAACUCAUACCUAGGCCCAAUUGCACAUGCACAGACUGGGCCCAAACUCUACGCAAGGUGCAUGCCAACAACAUUGAGAAUUUGAGCAGAUUAUAAUGUGUGGACUUAAAAAUGAAAUAAUUCUGUUAAUUAUAAGGGUAGAGAUAAUCACAAUUAAUCAUAAAACUUGUCAAAUCUAAUAUGAAUUACAAAAAGAAACUAUUAACAAAAUCUAUAUUUAAUUCUUAGUCAGGCUACAUCUUGUGCCAAGGAAAAUCAUUUUUGGUUCACAUGCUUUCGCAUCCUCCGAUUGAAGUUGAGUUUUUUGUGGGAGAACGAACUAACUAAAAUUGACAUGCCAAGUCAAAUACCAAGUCAAAUAAGUUGUUUAUCAUGCAAUACACUGCUUCGUGACACGCUAUUAAUGCUCAGCCCCAAUUCAAAGUUCACCCAUGCUCACAAAUAGUAGUUUCAUUAAACACCAUGAUCACAAAAGGAAAAAUUUAAAUAAAAUCUGUAGAAAUUAAAUACGAUUCAACCUAUCUUCAAACUUUAAAAAAAAAAAAAUCAUGCACUUAAGCCUAAAAUGAUCAGGUAACUCAUAACAAGAUUCCUAAUCGAAAGGAGGAGGUUAUAUCAAUUCAAAUCAUGCUUCAAAUUACUUCAAUGUCUUCAAACUAAACUCUAAAUUGAAUCAAAAGUAUCAUUCAUCACACAUUGCACUAACCGAAAUUCAGGAAUUUGAAUAUCUCUACAGAAAUGAAAUAGAGACUCAGCCAUUUUUAGUCAUUCAAAUAAAGCACAAUACAUAAGAGUUUUGAACUUACCUAGUUGAAACAACAAAUAUACUAUAAAUAAGCCAAAUUAAAGCAGAAUUCCAGACCUAGAUGAAUUUUCCAGUAAUUCCAGCAAUAAAAUCAGCAACUCUAACAAUCAAACAGCCCUUUUAGACCCAGGAGGUGUAAAGAAGAAGAAUGGAAGCAGGAAAAACAGCUUGAAAUCUUCUUUUUUUCCGAAAUUCUUUAUAUCUGAUAUUUUCUUAGAAAGAGGUAGAGUUUUUUUGCUUUUUGCAUCAGUAUGUGUCCAGUCCUUUUGGCUGCCUAAAAAUGUGUAUUUAUAACAGCAUUUGUUAGGGCAACACCCAGAUUUUCUAAAUUCAUUCCCACCUUUUAAACAUUCUAUCAUUUAUCCUUAGACCCCAAAUUUUGACCUUUUCCUGUUUUCUUUUGCAGAGACAGCCCUAUUUUCUUUUUCCUGGAAGCUUCUUUAAGCUGUAACAGAAAGAUUCCUCAAGUUUAUUUAUAUUGCCAUCUCCCUCCCUUUGAAUUUCUGUUAAUGGCACUUUAUUAGCAAACAAAAAUCUGGGCCUAUGACCAAAGCCCAAUGGUUCCUAAACAUAGUUGGCCCGUCUAGGACAGACCCAAUCCCCUGAAAAUUAGACCUACUGAAAAAUCAUGCAAUCAUGCGGAAACUUGAAGUCUAAGGCUACAACAUCCGAUAAUAGUUCAAACAAAAUUAUCAUGCAUUUAAUCUAUUUGGUAGUUCCAAUACAAAUCAACAUGAUUUAACAAUAAAGUGACUCAACAAAGCUUUAACAGUUGUAAAACUCACAACAUGACUAAACUUAGUUAAUAUCUAAUCAAAAACUUAAGAAGAACAAAGAAGAAAGGGAAAGGGAUUACCUAAUCGAAACAUAGCUGCCGGAGAAAAAGACAUCCGGCUAACAGCCAACAUCGCUACAUGAGCAUUAGCCCACACUCGAGGCGUAACCAAUGCUAUAUGUGACGUUAUCCGCCAUAUACCGACCGAAGAAAUCAACGUUAUGGGAAUUCCAUGGUGCUGGCCGGUCAAUAAUGAGUUGACCGGAUUCUGGUGGCCUAGAAUAGGUCAAAACUAACUUCAAUUGACAAUUCUCAACAAGAGUGUUUGAUUGGCAUUGGUUUGAGACUCAGGUAGGCCAGAAUUUGGGGAAGAAUCGAAAUGGCGGUAGAUUUAGGUUUUUGUGACUUCCUAGAUCUAAAAUCCGCGGAGUUAUAGGGACUACUAAAGGAAGCGGGUUGGGAUUAGGAAUGAGGAGGAAAAGGAGAUUGUGUGGUGAAGAUUUGGGGUCAUUUGGGGACUGCCCGCUGCCGUAGGGCGAUUUCCGACAGCGGAGACGGCGGAUUGGUGGGAGAGAGGUGAGAGAGAUGAGUAUGUGAGUUCUUUGGGGGGUC
rnacentral:lncRNA from 1 species